CCUACCGGAGGCAGCAGUGGGGAAUCUUGCGCAAUGGGCGAAAGCCUGACGCAGCAACGCCGCGUGCGGGAAGAAGGCUUUCGGGCUGUAAACCGCUUUCAGCAGGAACGAAAAUGACGGUACCUGCAGAAGAAGGAGCGGCCAACUAUGUGCCAGCAGCCGCGGUGAUACAUAGGCUUCAAGCGUUGUCCGGAUUUAUUGGGCGUAAAGAGUUCGUAGGCGGUCAAGUAAGUCGGGUGUGAAAAUUCUGGGCUCAACCCAGAGACGCCACCCGAUACUGCUUAACUUGAGUUCGAUAGGGGAGUGGGGAAUUCCUAGUGUAGCGGUGAAAUGCGCAGAUAUUAGGAGGAACACCGGUGGCGAAGGCGCCACUCUGGAUCGAUACUGACGCUGAGGAACGAAAGCAUGGGUAGCAAACAGGAUUAGAUACCCUGGUAGUCCAUGCCGUAAACGGUGGGCACUAGGUGUGGGUUUCUAUUAACGAAAUCCGCGCCGUCGCUAACGCAUUAAGUGCCCCGCCUGGGGAGUACGGUCGCAAGCUAAAACUCAAAUGAAUUGACGG
rnacentral:rRNA from 1 species